CGAAUGCUGACAUAAGUAACGAUAAAGCGGGUGAAAAGCCCGCUCGCCGGAAGACCAAGGGUUCCUGUCCAACGUUAAUCGGGGCAGGGUGAGUCGACCCCUAAGGCGAGGCCGAAAGGCGUAGUCGAUGGGAAACAGGUUAAUAUUCCUGUACUUGGUGUUACUGCGAAGGGGGGACGGAGAAGGCUAUGUUGGCCGGGCGACGGUUGUCCCGGUUUAAGCGUGUAGGCUGGUUUUCCAGGCAAAUCCGGAAAAUCAAGGCUGAGGCGUGAUGACGAGGCACUACGGUGCUGAAGCAACAAAUGCCCUGCUUCCAGGAAAAGCCUCUAAGCAUCAGGUAACAUCAAAUCGUACCCCAAACCGACACAGGUGGUCAGGUAGAGAAUACCAAGGCGCUUGAGAGAACUCGGGUGAAGGAACUAGGCAAAAUGGUGCCGUAACUUCGGGAGAAGGCACGCUGAUAUGUAGGUGAGGUCCCUCGCGGAUGGAGCUGAAAUCAGUCGAAGAUACCAGCUGGCUGCAACUGUUUAUUAAAAACACAGCACUGUGCAAACACGAAAGUGGACGUAUACGGUGUGACGCCUGCCCGGUGCCGGAAGGUUAAUUGAUGGGGUUAGCGGUAACGCGAAGCUCUUGAUCGAAGCCCCGGUAAACGGCGGCCGUAACUAUAACGGUCCUAAGGUAGCGAAAUUCCUUGUCGGGUAAGUUCCGACCUGCACGAAUGGCGUAAUGAUGGCCAGGCUGUCUCCACCCGAGACUCAGUGAAAUUGAACUCGCUGUGAAGAUGCAGUGUACCCGCGGCAAGACGGAAAGACCCCGUGAACCUUUACUAUAGCUUGACACUGAACAUUGAGCCUUGAUGUGUAGGAUAGGUGGGAGGCUUUGAAGUGUGGACGCCAGUCUGCAUGGAGCCGACCUUGAAAUACCACCCUUUAAUGUUUGAUGUUCUAACGUUGACCCGUAAUCCGGGUUGCGGACAGUGUCUGGUGGGUAGUUUGACUGGGGCGGUCUCCUCCUAAAGAGUAACGGAGGAGCACGAAGGUUGGCUAAUCCUGGUCGGACAUCAGGAGGUUAGUGCAAUGGCAUAAGCCAGCUUGACUGCGAGCGUGACGGCGCGAGCAGGUGCGAAAGCAGGUCAUAGUGAUCCGGUGGUUCUGAAUGGAAGGGCCAUCGCUCAACGGAUAAAAGGUACUCCGGGGAUAACAGGCUGAUACCGCCCAAGAGUUCAUAUCGACGGCGGUGUUUGGCACCUCGAUGUCGGCUCAUCACAUCCUGGGGCUGAAGUAGGUCCCAAGGGUAUGGCUGUUCGCCAUUUAAAGUGGUACGCGAGCUGGGUUUAGAACGUCGUGAGACAGUUCGGUCCCUAUCUGCCGUGGGCGCUGGAGAACUGAGGGGGGCUGCUCCUAGUACGAGAGGACCGGAGUGGACGCAUCACUGGUGUUCGGGUUGUCAUGCCAAUGGCACUGCCCGGUAGCUAAAUGCGGAAGAGAUAAGUGCUGAAAGCAUCUAAGCACGAAACUUGCCCCGAGAUGAGUUCUCCCUGACUCCUUGAGAGUCCUGAAGGAACGUUGAAGACGACGACGUUGAUAGGCCGGGUGUGUAAGCGCAGCGAUGCGUUGAGCUAACCGGUA
rnacentral:rRNA from 1 species